rnacentral:tRNA from 1 species
GCCCGUAGCUCAGCAGGAUAGAGCACAGGAUUUCGAAUCCUGUUCAAUGUUGCGAGCCGGCAACUCUGAUGAGCGCCA